UACGAAGGGGGCUAGCGUUGUUCGGAAUUACUGGGCGUAAAGCGCACGUAGGCGGACAUUUAAGUCAGGGGUGAAAUCCCAGAGCUCAACUCUAGAACUGCCUUUGAUACUGGGUGUCUUGAGUAUGGAAGAGGUGAGUGGAAUUCCGAGUGUAGAGGUGAAAUUCGUAGAUAUUCGGAGGAACACCAGUGGCGAAGGCGGCUCACUGGUCCAUUACUGACGCUGAGGUGCGAAAGCGUGGGGAGCAAACAGG
rnacentral:rRNA from 1 species